AAUGAACGCUGGCGGCGUGCCUAACACAUGCAAGUCGGAUGUGCCCUGCAAGGGGUGCAUGGCAGACGGGUGAGUAACGCGUGGGGAACCUACCUUUUCGUGGGGAAUAACGAUCCGAAAGGAUUGGUAAUACCGCAUGAGACCGAUGGCUGGGAUGCUGUCGGUGAAAGCCGGGGAUCGAAAGACCUGGCGCGAGAAGAGGGUCCUGCGUCUGAUUAGCUAGUUGGUGGGGUAAUGGCCUACCAAGGCGACGAUCAGUAGCCGGCCUGAGAGGGUGAUCGGCCACACUGGAACUGAGACACGGUCCAGACUCCUACGGGUGGCUG
rnacentral:rRNA from 1 species